GUGCAGAUAGCACAGUCGGUAGACCAUGAGAUUCUCAGUCUCAGGGUUGUGGGUUCUAGUCCCAUGUUGGAUG